CUGGCUCAGGAUGAACGCUAGCUACAGGCCUAACACAUGCAAGUCGAGGGGUAGCGUGAGGGAAGCUUGCUUCCCUGACGACGACCGGCGAAUGGGUGAGUCACGCGUGUCCAACCUGCCCCGUGCCCGGGGAUAGCCCUUGGAAAUGAGGAUUAAGACCCGAUAUGUGGCGCUUCCGCAUGGCGGCGCCAUGAAGCAGGCACGGGAUGGGGACGCGUCGGAUUAGCUUGACGGCGGGGCAACGGCCCACCGUGGCGACGAUCCGCAGGGGUUCUGAGAGGAAGGUCCCCCACACUGGCACUGAGACACGGACCAGACUCCUACGGGAGGCAGCAGUGAGGAAUAUUGGUCAAUGGGCGGGAGCCUGAACCAGCCAAGUAAGCGUGCAGGACGACGGCCCUACGGGUUGUAAACUGCUUUUCCGGGAGGAUAAAGUGAGCCACGCGUGGUUCAUUGCAGGUAUCCCGGGAAUAAGGACCGGCUAAUUCCGUGCCAGCAGCAGC
rnacentral:rRNA from 1 species